GAUGAACGCUGGCGGCGUGCCUAAUACAUGCGAGUCGAGCGAACAGACGAGGAGCUUGCUCCUCUGACGUUAGCGGCGGACGGGUGAGUAAUACGUGGAUAACCGACCUAUAAGACUGGGAUAACUUCGGGAAACCGGAUCCCAUAUCGGACAAGAUAUUGAAAGGGGGGGAUCAAUAGUGAAAGAGGGUUCUGAUGACACUUAUAGAUAGAACCUAGCCGCAUUAGCUAGUUGGUAAGGUAACGGCGUACCAAGGCGACGAUGCGUAGCUGACCUGAGAGGGUGAUCGGCCACCCUGGAACUGAGACACGGUCCAGACUCCUACGGGAGGCAGCAGUAGGGAAUCUUCCGCAAUGGGCGAAAGCCUGAUGGAGCCACGCCGCGUGAGUGAUGAAGGUCUUCGGAUCGUAAAACUCUGUUAUUAGGGAAGAAGAAAUGUGAGAGUAACUCUUCACGUCUUGACGGUACCUACUCAGAAAGCCACGGCUAACUACGUG
rnacentral:rRNA from 1 species